UUUAGCGUUUGCCACAGGGCCAUAAAUUUUGCCGGCCCGGUCCUGUGCCCGUCGCCUCUCUCUUCUCGCCCACCUCGCCUGCAACCACCUCGCCCACCUCGCCGGCAACCACCUUGCCCACCUCGCCGUCCACGGCCUUGCCCACCUCACCGGUCACCAUCUCUCCCCGUUGCCGCCAUCUUUCUCCCGCCUCCACUCGCACCCCACUCGAGUCACACCCCACAUCUAAGGUCAAAGCUUGGAUUUUUUUUUCUCCAGCGGCGAGCUUCUAGGAGACAGAGGCACUGGAUAUGUGUGCGCCACCGCUUGAUUGGCGUGCACCUGCUCUCGUUCUGGAGUCAGAGGCGUUGGAUGCGGUGCGGAGGCGAUCUUGUGGGCGACGGAGCAAUGUUCGUUGGCGACGACGCACUUGACACAAGUGGUCGUUGCUGUUGAGAAGAUGAAGGGUGAAGCGGGUGCUGCUCGCGUGCAGGGGUGGAGGGUCGCGGGGGGUCGCCGUCGGCCUCGCCAGGCACCGCUGCACGCUGGUCCUAGUGGGCGACGAGGGCGCCCUAACCGCGACAACGGAGGAGGUGUGGCGCGGCACGACCGAAGGGGAGGCGACCGUUGUGAUGGUUGGGUUUGGACAUCGCAGCCUACGACGAGGCACUGCUCGGCGCCCUGGUGAACUGCUGCUCCUACGAGGGUUCAACAUCAAAGGUGGACAAACAGACAGGCGAGAAAGAACAUGCAUUGGAAAGAAUUGCUGCUGACUUUAUAAUAUUCCCAUCCAUCCAUCUACUCCAGGGAUGGAUAUAUAAAUCAAGUGUACGCGACGAAGAGAAACACGGUUUACACCAAGAGGGGGAAUGCCGGUAAAUGGAAUUCUGGACCUGAAAAAGCUACGCGCGAGAUACCUAUUCUGCACAUCUCCAAAUGGGUUGAAACUCCACGAAGAAUUUUUAUUGAAUAGAUAAAAAAUAAUGGAAGAAAGAAGUACCAGAGGGGGCAGCCAGGUGGCCAUUAGGCACCAGGGCGCGCCAGCCC